rnacentral:rRNA from 1 species
CAAUAGCGUAUAUUAAAGUUGUUGCAGUUAAAAAGCUCAUAGUUGGAUUUCUGGUAGGAGUGACCGUUCCGAACUUGAUUGUUCGUGUAUUGUGUUUUCUCCAGCCAUCCUUGUGGAGAACUUUUCUUGCAUUAAUUUGUAGGGAUUGGGACCCGCAUCGUUUACUGUGAAAAAAUUAGAGUGUUUAAAGCAGGCAAUCGCUUGAAUACAUUAGCAUGGAAUAAUAAGAUAGGACUUUGGUACUAUUUUGUUGGUUUGCAUACCAAAUUAAUGAUCAACAGGAACAGUUUGAGGAUAUUCGUAUGAACAUGUCAGAGGUGAAAUUCUUGGAUUUUGAUCAGACGAACUACUGCGAAAGCAUUUAUCAAGGAUGUUUUCAUUAA